rnacentral:rRNA from 1 species
UGCAAGUCGAGCGAUGAAGCUUCCUUCGGGAAGUGGAUUAGCGGCGGACGGGUGAGUAACACGUGGGUAACCUGCCUCAAGUGGGGGAUAGCCUUCCGAAAGGAAGAUUAAUACCGCAUAACAUAAGAGAAUCGCAUGAUUUUCUUAUCAAAGAUUUAUUGCUUUGAGAUGGACCCGCGGCGCAUUAGCUAGUUGGUAAGGUAACGGCUUACCAAGGCAACGAUGCGUAGCCGACCUGAGAGGGUGAUCGGCCACAUUGGAACUGAGACACGGUCCAGACUCCUACGGGAGGCAGCAGUGGGGAAUAUUGCGCAAUGGGGGAAACCCUGACGCAGCAACGCCGCGUGGGUGAUGAAGGUCUUCGGAUUGUAAAGCCCUGUUUUCUGGGACGAUAAUGACGGUACCAGAGGAGGAAGCCACGGCUAACUACGUGCCAGCAGCCGCGGUAAUACGUAGGUGGCGAGCGUUGUCCGGAUUUACUGGGCGUAAAGGGUGCGUAGGCGGAUGUUUAAGUGGGAUGUGAAAUCCCCGGGCUUAACCUGGGGGCUGCAUUCCAAACUGGAUAUC